AUUGAACGCUGGCGGCAUGCCUUACACAUGCAAGUCGAACGGCAGCACGGGGCAACCUGGUGGCGAGUGGCGAACGGGUGAGUAAUGCAUCGGAACGUACCUUUCAGUGGGGGAUAACGUAGCGAAAGUUACGCUAAUACCGCAUAUUCUGUGAGCAGGAAAGCAGGGGAUCGCAAGACCUUGCGCUGAUUGAGCGGCCGAUGUCAGAUUAGCUAGUUGGUGAGGUAAAGGCUCACCAAGGCGACGAUCUGUAGCGGGCCUGAGAGGAUGAUCCGCCACACUGGAACUGAGACACGGUCCAGACUCCUACGGGAGGCAGCAGUGGGGAAUUUUGGACAAUGGGGGCAACCCUGAUCCAGCCAUGCCGCGUGAGUGAAGAAGGCCUUCGGGUUGUAAAGCUCUUUCGGCCGGGAAGAAAUCGCACGGGCUAAUACCCUGCGUGGAUGACGGUACCGGAAUAAGAAGCACCGGCUAACUACGUGCCAGCCGCCGCAGUAACAC
rnacentral:rRNA from 1 species